AUUUGAAAUCUAGCACCUUCGGUGUUCGAGUUGUAAUUUGAAGAUGGUAACCUUGGGUUUGGCUCUUGUCUAUGUUCCUUGGAACAGGACGUCAUAGAGGGUGAGAAUCCCGUCUGAUGAGAUGCCCAUUCCUAUGUAAGGUGCUAUCGAAGAGUCGAGUUGUUUGGGAAU
rnacentral:rRNA from 1 species